UACGGGGGGGGCAAGCGUUGGUCGGAAUUACUGGGCGUAAAGGGCUCGUAGGCGGCCAACUAAGUCGGAUGUGAAAUCCCCAUGCUUAACCUGGGAACUGCAUCCGAUACUGGAUGGCUUGAAUCCGGGAGAGGGAUGCAGAAUUCCAGGUGUAGCGGUGAAAUGCGUAGAUAUCUGGAGGAAUACCGGUGGCGAAGGCGGCAUCCUGGACCGGCAUUGACGCUGAUGAGCGAAAGCUAGGGGAACAAACGGG
rnacentral:rRNA from 1 species